rnacentral:tRNA from 1 species
GUUGGUGACUCAGUGGUUAGAGCUUAAGGCUUGGAAGCGAAAAGUCCCGGGUUCGAAUCUCGCUAGAGGCA